AGGGAAAGGGGGGAGGAAGAGAGAUGGGGAGAGGGGAGAGACACAGGGAAAGAGGGGGAGAGAUGGGUUGGAGGGAGAGAGAUGGGAAGAGGGGAGAGACACAGGGAAAGGGGGGGAGAUGGGUUGGAGGGAGAGACAGGGAAAGGGGGGAGGGAGAGAGAUGGGGAGGAGGGAGAGGCACAGGGAAAGGGGGUGAAAGAGGCAGAGGGUGAAGAGAGAGACAAAGAGGGAGAAAUGAGAGAGACACACAAGGGGAGGAGAAGAAAGAGGCAGAGGGGGAAGAGAGAGACUGGGAAGGAGAGGGGAGACAUUGACACAUACACACACUGCACCCACACACACACACCAUACACAUUCACACACUGCCCCCACACACACACACACCAUACACAUUCACACACUGCCCCACACACACACACACACACCAUACACAUUCACACACUGCCCCCACACACACACACACC